GGUCGGCGCGCCAAAAAGGGUCUCUGGAUAUUGGAGCUUCGGUCUCUCUCAGAGUAGGGGUUGUUGUCUGCUGUUUUCCUUACCUCACUCUAGGAAAUUUAAGUACUGACUUCCCCGUUACAGAUAUUGUGUAGAAGAACCGUCUUUCUUCGGCGCAGCUGUGAUCCUUUUGGCCCGGGGACCGUUGGCCCUCGCGAGUCGACUUUCGUAAUUAUCUAGGGCCACAGAACGGAGGGAACCGCCGUGUGGAACGGCUUGAGAGCGGGGUCUGGAUGCAGAGGAAGGCCGGAAAUUGUGUGUGUGGCUCUUCUGACUGGGUCCGCCCUGUAGACGUGUUACCUGUUGAGCCUGUGAUGCAGUUCUUGGUGAAAUGUAUGCUCUGUGAGUGUAGGAAGAUGGUGGUCUGCAAUGCACAGUACGCCUUACAAAGCCCGGCCCUGACACGCUGGUUGCUCGUUACCCAGGGAGCUCUCAGGAAGGGAAAUACUCGGCCCCGCUCCCAUGGUCACGAACCUGCCAGAGAACCGCCCCGGCAGAAAUUUUUGUUUUGAAAGAGUUUCGAAGAUGAAUGGUCGGAACCGUGUUACAACUCUUCUUGUGAUUCUGACCUCAUUUUAUUUGUUUAUAAUAAACUGGUUUAUUGUGCGCUGCUUUUCUCUCACUUCCCUGGUGGCUCAGAUGGUAAAGCGUCUGCCUACAAUGCAGGAGACCUGCAAUCUCUGGGUCAGGAAGAUCUCCUGGAGAAGGAAAUGGCAACCCACUCCAGUAUUCUUGUCUGGAAAAUCCCAUGGACGGAGGAACCUGGUAGGCUACAGCCCAUGGGGUUGCAAAGAGUCGAACACGACUGAGCGACUUCACUUUGACUUCACUUUAUCUCACUAGGGGGAUGAGAGGAGUUCAGAAAUGAGAUUUGAGAAAUUUCAUGAGUCCAUCUCUUGAAUUCUGCUAAUACAACUGAUGUGUAUACACUGGAAGACCUUCCAGAAUUUCUGUAUAUGUGCUGCCGAAGCGAGCACGGGAGCAAGCUCUUUCCUGGAUCUUCUGACUGAAGCUCCCACAGUUCAACAGCCACCAGGAUCAGAAGCCACUAGGAUACCUCUGUCUCCUAUCCAAGUGAGGUUAGCCACUCUGGCCUCCGUCUGGACUCCAGCAAAGCAGAAACCUUCCUUGGGGGCGGCACAAAGCGGCCUUGAAAAGCCUGAAGGGGCCAGCCCAGCAGUGGCCACUCAGGUUAGAAGCCUGGAGCAGGAACAUCCCAUCAAACAGGGUAUACUCCAAACUUUUAAGUUGAAAGUAUGACACCUUGUGGGGCUUCCCUGGUGGCUCAGAUGGUAGAGUCUGCCUGCUAUGUGAGUGACCCAGGUUCAAUCCCUGAGUCGAAAAGAUCCACUGGAGAAGAGAAUGGCUAUCCACUCUAGUAUUCUUGCCUGGAAAAUUCCUUAGACAGAGGAACCUGACAGUCUACUGGCCAUGGGGUCACAAAGAAUCAGACUCAACUGAGCAACUAACACUUUCACUUUUCAUGGAAGCUUGUGGUUCCAGAAGACUUUUCUUGCCUCACCAUUCAUUACUUUAUUACAUUCAAGUUUUGACUUUCAUAAUGAAUAGUUUUUACAACACUGUAUUUUAACUGAACCAUUCUCAUGCUUUGUGUUAUUUGUCUCCUUGCCUUUCCAACUGCUGUUCCUUUCACCUGGCUCUUUAUCUGGUUUUUAACCACACAUGACAUUGCUCUUUCCCUCCUCUUAUUGCCAGGGAUAUUUGGCAGUAUCUGGAGACUUUCUGGUUGGCCCAGUUGGAGGAUGCCACUGGUGUCUAGUGGAUAGAGGCUAGGGAUGCUGCUAAACAUUCUACAAUGCACAAGACAGACACCAUGACAAAGAAUGAUCUGUUCCAAAACAUUCCUAGUGCCAAGGGUGAGAAUCUCAAGAUAGAAAGUCCUGUCCUUUGCUCUUUGUUCAAAUUCUAACUGUUCUUUAUAGCUUCUUUUAAUGAUUACCUCCUCCAUGAAAGCUGGUCUUGGUCUUUCCAUCCACAUAAUCACUCUUUUGACUUUCCACCUUCCCAGGCAAAGUCCUUUUUUUCUAUUUAGUAUUUUAUUUUUUAUUUAUUCAAGGCAAUUUUUAAAGAAGCAGUUUUAGAUCCACAGCAAAAUUGAGAGGAAGGUGUGGGGAUUUCCCAUAUGCUUUCUGCUCUCAUAUGUGCAUAAUUUCUACCAUGUCAACAUCCUUCACCAGAAUGGUACAUUUGUUACAACUACUAAACCUCCAUUGGCACAUCGUAACCAUCCAAAGCCCAUAGUUUACAUUAGGGGUCACUCUUGAUGUUGUGUUAUAUGAGUUUGGAAAAUGCCUAAUGACAUGUAUCCACCAUUAUAUUAUCAUACAAAGUAUUUUCACUGCCCUAAAAAUCUAUCUGCUCCAUCUCUCAGAGUCCCCAUUCCCUGGCAUCCACUGAUCUUUUUACUGCCUCCAGGGUUUUGCGUUUUCCAGAAUGUCAUAUAGUUGGAGUCAUCAACUACAAGUAAGUAGACUUUUCAGAUUGGUUUCUUUUGCCUAUUAAUAUGCAUCUAAAUUUCCUCUACUGUACAAUUGAAUGUUCAAACUACUGUACAGUUGUACUCAUUUCACAUGCUAGCAAGAUUAUUCUCAAAAUCCUUCAAGCUAGGCUUCACCAGCACAUGAACUGAGAAAUUCUGCAUGUACAAGCUGGGUUUUGAAGAGUCAGAGGAACAGAGAUCAGAUUGCCAACAUUCAUUGGAUUAUGGAGAAAGCAAGGGAGUUCCAGAAAAGUAUUUACUUCUGCUUCAUUGACUAUGCUAAAGCCUUUGACUGUGUGGAUCACAACAAACUGUGGAAAAUUCUUUAAGAGAUGGGAGCACCAAACCACCUUACCUGUCUCCUGAGAGAUCUGUAUGUGGGUCAAGAAGCAAUAGAACUGGACAUGGAAAAAUUCACUGGUUCCAAAUUGGGAAAGAAGUACUAUAAGCCUGUACAUUGUUACUUUCUUUAUUUAACUAACAUGCAGAGUACGUCAUGUGAAAUGCUGGGCUGGAUGAAUCACAGGCUAGAAUCAAGAUUGCAGGGAGAAAUAUCAACAGCCUCAGAUAUGCAGAAAAUACCACUCUAAUGACAGAAAGUAAAGAGGAACUAAAGAGCCUCUUGAUGAGAGUGAAAGAGGAGAGUGGAAAAAAAAAAAACAGCUUGAAAUUCAGCAUUAAAAAAACUAAGGUCAUGGCAUCUGGUCCCAUCACUUCAUGGCAAAAAGAAGGGUAAAAAGUGGAAGCAGUGACAGACUUUGCUUUUUGGGGCUCCAGAAUCACUGCAGAUGGUGACUGCAGCCACAAAAUUAAAAGACACUUGCUCCUUGGAAGGAAAGCCAUGACAAACCUAGACACCUUUUUAAAAAGCAGAGACAUCACUUUGCAGACAAAGGUUCAUAUAGUUAAAGCUAUGAUUUUUCCAGUAGUUAUGUAUGGAUAUGAGAGUUGGACCAUAAAGAAGGUUGAGCAUUGAAGAAUUGAUGUCUUUGAAUUGUAGUGCUGGAGAAGACUCUCGAGAGUCCCUUGGACUGCAAGGAGAUCAAAACAGUCAACCCUAAAGGAAAUCAAUCCUGAAUAUUCAUUGGAAGUACGGAUGCUGAAGCUGAAACUCUAAGACUUUGGCCACCUGAUUCAAAGAGCCGACUUGUUGAAAUAAACCCUGAUGCUGGGAAAGACUGAAGGCAAAAAGAGAAGGAAGAGCAGAGGAUGGGAUGGUUAGAUGGCAUCACUGAUUCAAUGGACAUGAAUUUGAGCAAGCUCUGGGAGAUAGUGGAGGACAGAGGAACAUGGCCUUUUGCAGUCCAUGGGAUCACAAACAGUUGCAUGUGACUUAGCGACUGACUGAACAACAACAGCAGAUUUCCUCGAUUUUUUUUUAUGACUUAGUAGCUCACUUCUUUUUUGCACUGAAU
ensembl:lncRNA